GAUGAACGCUAGCGGGAGGCUUAAUACAUGCAAGUCGAGGGGUAACAGGUCCUUCGGGACGCUGACGACCGGCGAACGGGUGCGUAACGCGUACACAAUCUACCUCUAAGAGGGGGAUAGCCUUUGGAAACGAAGAUUAAUACCGCAUAAUAUUUCUGUGUCGCAUGACACUGGUUAUUAAAAAUUUCGAUUGCUUAGAGAUGAGUGUGCGUCCCAUUAGAUAGUUGGUAAGGUAACGGCUUACCAAGUCAACGAUGGGUAGCUGUUCUGAGAGGAAGGUCAGCCACACGGGCACUGAGACACGGGUCCGACUCCUACGGGAGGCAGCAGUAAGGAAUAUUGGUCAAUGGGGGCAACCCUGAACCAGCCAUCCCGCGUGCAGGAUGACGGCCCUAUGGGUUGUAAACUGCUUUUGACAAGGAAGAAGGCUUGGGAUUUAUCCUGAGAUUGACGGUACUUGUCGAAUAAGCACCGGCUAACUCCG
rnacentral:rRNA from 1 species